GCUAAAUAAGAGCGUAUGGGGAAUGCCUAGGCUCUCAGAGGCGAUGAAGGACGUGAUAAGCUGCGAAAAGCUGCGGGGAUUGGCACAUACAAAUUGAUCCGCAGAUAUCCGAAUGGGGCAACCCGUCAUGUUGAAGACAUGUCAUCCGAAAGGAAGCGAACCCGGAGAACUGAAACAUCUAAGUACCCGGAGGAGAAGAAAACAAAAGUGAUUCCGCUAGUAGUGGCGAGCGAACGCGGAUUAGCCCAAACCAGUGUUGUUACGGCAAUGCUGGGGUUGUAGGACUGUGCUAUUGGUCGUGUAAUGAACUAGAACGCUUUGGAAAGAGCGGCCAAAGAGGGUGAUAGCCCCGUAAAGGUAAAGAUCAUUGACCAUAACAGUAUCCUGAGUAGCGCGGGGCACGUGUAACCCUGUGUGAAUCUGUGGGGACCAUCCCAUAAGGCUAAAUACUCCUGAGAGACCGAUAGUGUACUAGUACCGUGAGGGAAAGGUGAAAAGAACCCUGAAUAAGGGAGUGAAAUAGAACCUGAAACCAUACGCUUACAAGCGGUCGGAGCCCAUUAGGGUGACGGCGUGCCUUUUGCAUAAUGAGCCUACGAGUUACCGUUGCUAGCAAGGUUAAGCACUUCAGGUGCGGAUCCGUAGCGAAAGCGAGUCUGAAUAGGGCGCUAUAGUUAGUAGUGGUAGACGCGAAACCGUGUGAUCUACCCAUGGGCAGGGUGAAGCUGUGGUAACACAUAGUGGAGGCCCGAACCGGUUGACGUUGAAAAGUCUUCGGAUGACCUGUGGGUAGGGGUGAAAGGCCAAUCAAACUCGGAAAUAGCUCGUACUCCCCGAAAUGCAUUUAGGUGCAGCGUUGGUUUAGUUUUAUAGAGGUAGAGCUACUGAUUGGAUGCGGGGGCUUCACCGCCUACCAAUUCCUGACAAACUCCGAAUGCUAUAAAAUGAUGAUCAGCAGUGAGGGCAUGGGUGCUAAGGUCCAUGUCCGAGAGGGAAAGAACCCAGACCAUCAGCUAAGGUCCCCAAAUGUAUGUUAAGUUGAAUAAACGAGGUUGAACUGCUUAGACAGCUAGGAUGUUGGCUUGGAAGCAGCCAUUCAUUUAAAGAGUGCGUAACAGCUCACUAGUCGAGCGGUUCGGCAUGGAUAAUAAUCGGGCAUAAACAUACUACCGAAGCUAUGGACUUGAAAAAGUGGUAGGGGAGCAUUGUAGUGUCGUCGAAGGUGUACUGCGAGGUAUGCUGGAGAAGCUACAAAAGAAAAUGUAGGCAUAAGUAACGAUAAUGCGGGCGAGAAACCCGCACACCGAAAGACUAAGGUUUCCUCAGCUAUGCUAAUCAGCUGAGGGUUAGUCGGGACCUAACGCGAACCCGAAAGGGGUAGUGGAUGGACAACGGGUUAAUAUUCCCGUACCUGCUCACGCUAAAAGUGACGGAGGCGUAUAUUUGGUGCGAACUGACGGAAUAGUUCGUUGAAGGGAGCGGUAACGCCCCGAUAGUACACUGAGGCUACGGCCAAGGUGAUAAUCCAGAGAAGCGACUUCCAAGAAAAACGAGUGAAGCAGCCCGUACCGUAAACCGACACAGGUAGUUGGGAUGAGAAUUCUAAGGUGCUCGAGAGAUUCAUGGCUAAGGAACUAGGCAAAAUAGACGCGUAACUUCGGGAGAAGCGUCGCCCAUCUCCGGAUGGGCCGCAGUGAAAAGGUCCAGGCGACUGUUUAUCAAAAACACAGGGCUCUGCUAAAUCGAAAGAUGACGUAUAGGGCCUGACACCUGCCCGGUGCUGGAAGGUUAAGUGGA
rnacentral:rRNA from 1 species